rnacentral:tRNA from 1 species
GGGGAUGUAGCUCAGCGGUAGAGCGCUUGCUUUGCAUGUAAGAGGCCCUGGGUUCAAUCCCCAGCAUCUCCA